UACGGAGGGUGCAAGCAUUAAUCGGAUUUAUUGGGCGUAAAGGGCGCGUAGGCGGGGAUGUAAGUCAGACGUGAAAUCCCGGGGCUCAACCUCGGAACAGCAUUUGAAACUACAUCUCUUGAGGGUAGGCGGAGAAAACGGAAUUCCACAAGUAGCGGUGAAAUGCGUAGAUAUGUGGAAGAACACCGGUGGCGAAGGCGGUUUUCUAGCUUAUUCCUGACGCUAAAGCGCGAAAGCAAGGGGAUCAAACAGG
rnacentral:rRNA from 1 species